rnacentral:rRNA from 1 species
AUUGAACGCUGGCGGCAGGCCUAACACAUGCAAGUCGAGCGGAUGAAGGGAGCUUGCUCCUGGAUUCAGCGGCGGACGGGUGAGUAAUGCCUAGGAAUCUGCCUGGUGGUGGGGGAUAACGUCCGGAAACGGGCGCUAAUACCCCAUACGUCCUGGGGGAGAAAGGGGGGGAUCUUCGGACCUCACGCUAUCAGAUGAGCCUAGGUCGGAUUAGCUAGUUGGUGGGGUAAAGGCCUACCAAGGCGACGAUCCGUAACUGGUCUGAGAGGAUGAUCAGUCACACUGGAACUGAGACACGGUCCAGACUCCUACGGGAGGCAGCAGUGGGGAAUAUUGGACAAUGGGCGAAAGCCUGAUCCAGCCAUGCCGCGUGUGUGAAGAAGGUCUUCGGAUUGUAAAGCACUUUAAGUUGGGAGGAAGGGCAGUAAGUUAAUACCUUGCUGUUUUGACGUUACCAACAGAAUAAGCACCGGCUAACUUCGU